AUUGAACGCUGGCGGAAUACUUUACACAUGCAAGUCGAACGGCAGCACGGGGGCAACCCUGGUGGCGAGUGGCGAACGGGUGAGUAAUACAUCGGAACGUGCCCGGUCGUGGGGGAUAACGUAGCGAAAGUUACGCUAAUACCGCAUACGAUCUGAGGAUGAAAGCGGGGGACCUUCGGGCCUCGCGCGAUCGGAGCGGCCGAUGUCAGAUUAGGUAGUUGGUGGGGUAAAGGCCUACCAAGCCGACGAUCUGUAGCUGGUCUGAGAGGACGACCAGCCACACUGGGACUGAGACACGGCCCAGACUCCUACGGGAGGCAGCAGUGGGGAAUUUUGGACAAUGGGCGCAAGCCUGAUCCAGCCAUUCCGCGUGCAGGACGAAGGCCUUCGGGUUGUAAACUGCUUUUGUAUGGAACGAAAAGGCUCUGGCUAAUACCUGGGGCUCAUGACGGUACCGUAAGAAUAAGCACCGGCUAACUACGUG
rnacentral:rRNA from 1 species